rnacentral:rRNA from 1 species
ACCUGCGAUGCAUUAGCUAGUUGGUAAGGGUAACGGGUCUUUACCGAAGGCGAUGAUGCAUAGCCCGAGUUGAGAGACUGAUCGGGCCACAUUGGGGACUGAGACACGGGACCCAAAACUCCGUACGGGGAGGCAGCAGUAGGGAAUCUUCCACAAUGGACGAAAGUCUGAUGGAGCAACGCCGCGUGAGUGAAGAAGGUUUUCGGAUCGUAAAAGCUCUGUUGUUGGUGAAGAAGGAUAGAGGUAGUAACUGGCCUUUAUUUGACGGUAAUCAACCAGAAGUCACGGCUAACUACGUGCCAGCAGCCGCGGUAAU